rnacentral:lncRNA from 1 species
CCAACUGGAGGUGGCGUGAGGUCAGUUAAAUGAUAAGGGGAUAAUUUCUCUCUGCAGGUACCCAAAGGACAGAAAACCUUUGACUGCCUCAGAAUCUAUCGCAAAGCCCUUGACUCACGUCCACAGCGAGCUUUCCCCAGAUGUCAAGCGCAACAGCCUCGCGGUCCCUAAUCCAGACGAAGGCAAGGACGUUCCAGAAGAUCAAGAGAAGUUUGAUGAAUACCCCGACCAAAUCUCCAACGACCCCGAAGAGUUGCAUUACGCAUCUCUCAACUUUGGUGAACUGAAAUGUUUACCAGAACCCACUUCAGAAGAAUCCAAGUCAGAUUAUGCUGAAAUCAAGAAGGUCUAGUCUGCAGAUGUUGAAAGAGGAGACGGAGAGGCAGGUUUAAGAGGAUUUCUCAAGUCUAGUUGACACUGCGAACAAAGGAGGUCACCUCCUGGUUCUGAUCUGCUGUCUGCCCUCCGAAGAAACCUCUUCCUCAUAGUGUGCAUGUGUCAAUUACCCUUCCUGCUCUUGUCCAUUUCUCUAUACCCCCUUUGGGGGAAGCAUAGGCUGCCCAUUGUUUGCUCUGAAAUGUGAUCUGCAGCAAGUGAAAGAAGGGGAAAGGGGGCCUGUAGCUUUGUGGCACAGCACAUGCUUUUCAUGCGCAAAGCCCUGGGUACAACCUUCCAGCCAAAGGUUCUGAGGUUUCAGGGGUGGGAGACGAUGCCCACCUGUGAUCCUUAGAAACCACCUCUUGUCAGUAAGGCCGGCCUGAACAUUAGGCAGAGUAAGGUUUGCCUCAGGCGGCAAAUGUUGAGGAGCAGCAGGGGCAGCCUCCUAGCUGUUUGCCAGUAUUGAAGUAAGAUUCAACUGCCACUCUGGGCAGUUCCUUUGUAUAGAAAGCGGGGGGCACCAUCUUGUCCUAUACCUCAGCAGCAAAAUGUAUUGGGACAGCUCUGGCCAAUUGGAGCAAAGAGCAUUUAUUUUAAGGGAGCUUUGUAGGCUCAGUUGAGCCCUCUCCUGCAAAAAGCUCCACCCCCUGAUUUUCAAUGGGUGUCAAACUUGCUAAAAG